rnacentral:lncRNA from 10 species
CCGGCCCGUCUCGGGGCCCUGAGUCAUCGCCGCCCCCGGCCCCGACGCUGGCCUGCGGCGUCUGUUUGUGCAGAGCGAGGCCCCGCCGGCCGGGCUUGACGUCAGGCUGGCAGGGCCUGGAACGGCCCCGCAUCGCGGCCCCCUGGGGGCAGGACGACACCGCUGGGGGCCGAGGGCAGGGCACGCCUUCGGAAUCCGGCUUCGAAGCCGGCCGCCUGACCUGGGGCAAGUGCUUUCAACUCUCUGAACUUCGGUUCCUCAUCUGCCAGUUGGCAGACGCUCAGCAAAUCUUCCUAGACUCACGGGGCGAAUUGUACAGUUGGGUAAAUCGAGGCCCAGAGAUGGCAAAAGGACCGUCCAAGGUCGUACAGCCACCCGGAAUUACAAUUCUUUUCUGCCGGGUCACACGCUGUCAUCCACGUGUUACCUAAGAGAGCUUUCCAGCCUGUGCUAAGAAAACUGCCCCACAUCAUCUGCAGUAGGACGGGGGAGUUGGAGCCCUGGUCAGGCCACUCUGCUACUGACCACAGUUUUCUCAUCUCUAAAAAGGCGCAGUAACAAUAUAAUUACCGUAUGCAGUCCCCCAGGAUACAGGGUCAAAGGAGAGCACAACCAUCGCAGUUGGAAGCCCAUGGGGCAGCCCAGUGCAGAUGCAUCUGACUUACGAAACUUCAGUGACACCUGCUCUGUGCCAGACACUGAAGAUGGAGCAGUGAACAGCACUGACCCAGCCUGUCCUCCUGUUGCCUGCAGGCCAGACGGAGUCUCACUCUGUCACCAGGCUGGAGUACAGUGGUGUGAUCUCGGCUCACUGCAACCUCCGCCUCCCAGGUUCAAGCGAUUCUCCUGCCUCAGCCUCUCAAGUAGCUGAGAUUACAGACGUGUGUCACCAUGCCCUGUUAAUUUUUGUUUGUUUGUUUUGUUUUUUGUUUUGUUUUGUUUCGUUUUUUGUUUUUUUUUUUUGAGACGGAGUCUUGCUCUGUCGCCCAGGCUGGAGUGCAGUGGCCCCGAUCUCGGCUCACCGCAAGCUCCGCCUCGCGGGUUCAUGCCAUUCUCCGGCCUCAGCCUCCCGAGUAGCUGGGACUACAGGCAUCCGCCACCACACCCAGCUAAUUUUUUGUAUUUUUUUUAGUAGAGACGGGGUUUCACUGUGUUAGCCAGGAUGGUCUCGAUCCCCUGACCUUGUGAUCCACCCAAGGCCUCGGCCUCCCAAAGUGCUGGGAUUACAGGCAUGAGCCACCGUGCCCGGUCAAUUUUUAUAUUUUUUGUAGAGACAGGGUUUCACCAUGUUGGCCAGGCUGGUGUCGAACUCCCGACCUCAGGUGAUUGUCGGCCUUGGCCUCCCAAAGUGCUGGGAUUACAGGCGUGAGCCACCGCGCCCAGCCGGUGGGCAGCCAGUUGUGUUCCGGGAGGAGGAGGACACCCUGGAAAGACAGUGGGGCCAGACACUGAACUGCCUUUGGAAGCAAGUAGGAGCAACAGCGAAGGUUUGCUGGCUCAGAAGCAAGGUCUCGCUGUGUUACCCUGGCUGGAGUGCAGUGGCUACUUACAGGCAUGAUCAUAGCAUACUGCAGCCUCGAACUCCUGGACUAGAGCAGUUCUCCUGCCUCAGCCUCCAGAGCAGCUGGGACUGCAGACACGCACCACAGAGCCCAGCCUGAGUCAUUUUGAUUCUGUAACUGGCUUCCUCUCGGCGGGCAGGCUCACACCCUCCACCCCCAGCUGGAGAUGGAAGGAGGAUGCUCACCGCCCAUUCCUCAUGCAGGCCAUCGAUGGAAAUGUCAGACAGUGCGAGUCCACGCCUGAACACUUCUGGGGUCCGCUCUGGGACUGACACUGGCAGAUCCAUCGAUGCCGUUCCAUUGUUUGCUGACUUUCAUUGAUUCUAUGAGAAGUCUGCAGUCUUUUGCAGCGUUGUUUUCCUAUGUAUAAUUGUCUCCUCCCACCCCACUCACCCCAGCUGCUUUCCACAUUCUCUCUCUUUGAUUUUCAGCAGUCUGCCCAUGAUGUGCCUAAAUAGGACUUUCUUUGCAUUCAUCUUGGCUGGGGCUCACUGAACUUUCUGAAUCUGUAGAUUAAUUUUCUUUUUUCAAUAAACCUUGGAAUAUUUUCAGCAUAA